UGCUGCCUAUAGGGAUUACAGUUGUCCCAUC
rnacentral:piRNA from 1 species